CUGAGACACGGACCAGACUCCUACGGGAGGUAGCAGUGAGGAAUAUUGGACAAUGGGCGCAAGCCUGAUCCAGCCAUGCCGCGUGCAGGAUGACGGUCCUAUGGAUUGUAAACUGCUUUUGCACAGGAAGAAACAACGCUACGUGUAGCGUCUUGACGGUACUGUGAGAAUAAGGAUCGGCUAACUCCGUGCCAGCAGCCGCGGUAAUACGGAGGAUCCAAGCGUUAUCCGGAAUCAUUGGGUUUAAAGGGUCCGUAGGCGGUUUGGUAAGUCAGUGGUGAAAGCCCAUCGCUCAACGGUGGAACGGCCAUUGAAUCUGCCAGACUUGAAUUAUUAGGAA
rnacentral:rRNA from 1 species